GGUUCUGUAGUGUAGCGGUCAUCACUCCGGAUUCUGAUUGGACUUAUCGUCAGAAUCCUUCCGGCAACCCCGGUUCGAAUCCGGGCAGGACCU